GACGAACGCUGGCGGCGUGCUUAACACAUGCAAGUCGAGCGGUAAGGCCCUUUCGGGGUACACGAGCGGCGAACGGGUGAGUAACACGUGGGUGACCUGCCCUUAGCUCUGGGAUAAGCCUGGGAAACUGGGUCUAAUACCGGAUAUGACUCCAUGACGCAUGUUGUGGGGUGGAAAGCCUUGUGCGGCUAGGGAUGGGCCCGCGGCCUAUCAGCUUGUUGGUGGGGUAAUGGCCUACCAAGGCGACGAC
rnacentral:rRNA from 1 species